AAACCAUGAUUUGGGCAUUUCCUUAAUAGCUCCUUGAACCUUUCCCAUGUCUCGUACAACGAUUCCCCGUCUUCUUGAGAGUAGGUGUUAAUCUCGGUCAUGAGUGU
rnacentral:snoRNA from 1 species